AUCGUCUCAGGGUUGUUCCUGGAGAGUUUCCAGUACUCUACCAGUCACGACUACAGGAGGGAGAGUCAAGCAGACGCAUACCCAUUCCAUUCCUAGCUUGGGCAGCGACUAGUGAAUGGAAGGCAAUCUGCUACAAGU